CGUCAUUGACGACCAACCAUCAAGCAUGGGCCAAUUCUUGGGAGAGUUCUUGUUCUCUUGGCCUCCAGACUCCCACCGCGGUGGCCCUCCGUGUGGGAGUUGGGAACCUAUGCUUAUGUGCAACAACUCCGGCUUCUCAUCAAGUCACCAGGCGGCGACCAUGUCUGAAGAACAUGCUGACUACCGCUGCGUCAGGCAGCACGCGGGCAUCACGGACUGCAGUGAGUGAUUAGCAUAAGGCGCCACGCCAGAAUCGCCCCGACAUAUCUUCACACUUCUUCACUACUCUGGUUGGAGGCCCAGAGUACGUGCACUGCCUGCUGCCACCCCUGGAGUCGCUAGCCACGGUGGAGGAGAAGGUGGUACGUGAGAAGGCAGUGGAGUCCUUGAGGGCCAUCUCGCAUGAGCACUCGCCCUCUGACCUGGAGGCCCAUUUUGUACCACUGGUGAAGCGUCUGGCGGGUGGCGACUGUUUCACCUCCCGCACCUCAGCCUGUGGCAAUGCGGAACUUCGACAGUAUUUCCGGAACCUGUGCUCAGAUGACACUCUCAUGGUGCGGCGGGCCGCAGCCUCCAGGCUGGGGGAGUUCGCCAAGGUGCUGGAGCUGGACAAUGUUAAGAGUGAGAUCACCCCCGUGUUCUCCAACCUAGCCUCUGACGAGCAGGACUCGGUGCGGCUGCCGGCAGUGGAGGCGUGCGUGAACGUCACCCAGCUCCUGCCCCAGGAGGGUCUGGAGGCUUUGGUGAUGCCCACCCUACGCCAGGCUGCCGAAGACAAGUCCUGGCGCGUCCGUUACAUGGUGGCUGACAAGUUCACAGAGCUCCAGAAAGCAGUGGGGCCUGAGAGCACCAAGACAGACCUGGUCCCUGCCUUCCAGAACCUGAUGAAGGACUGUGAGGCCGAGGUGAGGGCCGCAGCCUCCCACAAGGUCAAAGAGUUCUGUGAAAAUCUGUCAGCUGACUGUCGGGAGACUGUGAUCAUGACCCAGAUCUUGCCCUGCAUCAAGGAGCUGGUGUCAGAUGCUAACCAACAUGUCGAGUCAGCCCUGGCCUCAGUCGUCAUGGGCCUCUCUCCCAUCCUGGGCAAAGAUAACACCAUUGAGCACCUCUUGCCCCUCUUCCUGGCUCAGCUGAAGGAUGAGUGCCCUGAGCUGCGAUUGAACAUCAUCUCCAACCUGGACCGUGUGAACGAGGUGAUUGGCAUCCGGCAGCUGUCCCAGUCCCUGCUCCCUGCCAUCGUGGAGCUGGCUGAGGAUGCUAAGUGGCGGGUGCGGUUGGCCAUCAUAGAGUACAUGCCCCUGCUGGCUGGACAGCUGGGUGUGGAGUUCUUUGAUGAGAAACUCAACUCCUUGUUCAUGGCCUGGCUGGUGGAUCAUGUCUAUGCCAUCCGUGAGGCGGCCACCAGCAACCUGAAGAAACUGGUGGAGAAGUUUGGGAAGGAGUGAGCCCAUGCCACCAUCAUCCCCAAAGUCUUGGCCAUGUCUGGAGACCCCAUCUACUUGCACCGCAUGACUACACUCUUCUGCAUCAAUGUGCUGUCUGAAGUCUGUGGGCAGGACAUCACCACCAAGCACAUGCUGCCCACAGUCCUGCGUAUGGCUGGAGACCCAGUUGCCAAUGUCCAUGUCUUCAACGUGGCCAAGUCCCUGCAGAAGAUUGUUCCCUUCCUGGACAACAGCACCCUGCAGAGUGAAGUCAAGCCUAUCCUAGGGAAGCUGACCCAGGACCAGGAUGUGGAUGUCAAGUACUUUGCCCAGGAGGCACUGACUGUUCUGUCUCUGGCCUGAUGCUGCAAGAGGAGCCAACUCUGGUGUUCACCCUUCAGCUGUCCCCAAGUCCUCCCUCGAGGAGGCAAUGGGGACCUUGGCUAUCUCUCCCUGUGCAUGGUCUGACCCCAGGCCCCUUCCCCUGCACGGUUCGUCCUCUCCCCAGCCUGGGAAGACUGCUCCUGACCACAUCCCUGGGGCUGGGAGAGCAUGAGGGUGGGAAAGGAUGGUGACCCUGGAGGCACUCUGCCCAUGUUGGGGAAAGACGUGAGCAUCCCAGGUCAUUGGUUCCUGCUGCUGUAAUGAGGAUGCCCUCCCCCAUCUACUUCUCCACCUCCCUUUCUCCCCUCUCAGUGGUUUUUUGUGUCAACUGUGUCGUUUUUAUUUUAUUCCUUUUUUUUUUUGCC